GACGAACGCUGGCGGCGUGCUUAACACAUGCAAGUCGAGCGGUAAGGCCCUUUCGGGGGUACACGAGCGGCGAACGGGUGAGUAACACGUGGGUGACCUGCCUUUAGCUCUGGGAUAAGCCUGGGAAACUAGGUCUAAUACCGGAUAUGACUCCAUGACGCAUGUUGUGGGGUGGAAAGCCUUGUGCGGCUAGGGGAUGGGCCUGCGGCCUAUCAGCUUGUUGGUGGGGUGAUGGCCUACCAAGGCGACGACGGGUAGCCGGCCUGAGAGGGCGACCGGCCACACUGGGACUGAGACACGGCCCAGACUCCUACGGGAGGCAGCAGUGGGGAAUCUUGCGCAAUGGGCGAAAGCCUGACGCAGCGACGCCGCGUGGGGAUGACGGCCUCGGUUGUAACC
rnacentral:rRNA from 1 species